rnacentral:rRNA from 1 species
GUGGGGAAUAUUGGACAAUGGACCAAGAGUCUGAUCCAGCAAUUCUGUGUGCACGAUGAAGUUUUUCGGAAUGUAAAGUGCUUUCAGUUGGGAAGAAGAAAGUGACGGUACCAACAGAAGAAGCGACGGCUAAAUACGUGCCAGCAGCCGCGGUAAUACGUAUGUCGCAAGCGUUAUCCGGAUUUAUUGGGCGUAAAGCGCGUCUAGGCGGCAUAGUAAGUCUGAUGUGAAAAUGCGGGGCUCAACUCCGUAUUGCGUUGGAAACUGCUAUGCUAGAGUACUGGAGAGGUAAGCGGAACUACAAGUGUAGAGGUGAAAUUCGUAGAUAUUUGUAGGAAUGCCGAUGGGGAAGCCAGCUUACUGGACAGAUACUGACGCUAAAGCGCGAAAGCGUGGGUAGCAAACAGGAUUAGAAACCCUAGUAGUCC